UUUAUGGGAAAUGUAGUUUGAGGAUCACAAACUGUGUGUGAUCCGUGAAGGGGAGGGGCUUGGGGGUGAACGCGUUCGGGAGCCUGGGCGGGGAGGUCACUGCUGUUAAGGUCCAGCUUCUUGGUGGUGAGUCAGGGGCUGGUUUUCCUUUUCCGUCAUACCGAGACAUGUGAAGUGUGGUGCGGACGAUGGAAAACCGUAGGAGCUGAGAGAAGUUUGCUGAAGUAUGCCGGCUACAAACUUUCCUGUGGUUAUUUCAAUGUUUAGCUACUGUGUAUGUCUUCCUUACUCAAAGUGUGACUCAGUAUGAACCAUGGAUGCUGGUGAAAAAUGCAGAAUUCCAGACUCAUCUCUGACCUACUGAAUCAGAAUCUACAAUUUAAUGAGAUCCUUAGGUAAUUUAUGUGCACAUUACAGUUUGAGAACAUGGCUUUGGGUGAUUG